UACGUAGGGUGCGAGCGUUAAUCGGAAUUAUUGGGCGUAAAGCGUGCGCAGGCGGUUUUGUAAGCCCGAUGUGAAAUCCCCGGGCUCAACCUGGGAAUGGCAUUUGGUACUGCAAGGCUUGAGUGCGGCAGAGGAGACUGGAAUUCCUGGUGUAGCAGUGAAAUGCGUAGAUAUCAGGAGGAACACCGAUGGCGAAGGCAGGUCUCUGGGCUGACACUGACGCUCAUGCACGAAAGCGUGGGGAGCAAACAGG
rnacentral:rRNA from 1 species